UACGUAGGGGGCAAGCGUUGUCCGGAUUUAUUGGGCGUAAAGAGCGUGUAGGCGGCUAGGUAGGUCCGUUGUGAAAACUCGAGGCUCAACCUCGAGACGCCGAUGGAAACCAUCUAGCUAGAGUCCGGAAGAGGAGAGUGGAAUUCCUGGUGUAGCGGUGAAAUGCGCAGAUAUCAGGAAGAACACCCGUGGCUAAGGCGGCUCUCUAGUACGGUACUGACGCUGAGGAGCGAAAGCGUGGGGAGCGAACAGG
rnacentral:rRNA from 1 species